GGGGAAUAUUGCGCAAUGGGCGAAAGCCUGACGCAGCGACGCCGCGUGAGGGAUGAAGGUCCUCGGAUCGUAAACCUCUGUCAGGAGGGAAGAACCGCCACGGUGCUAAUCAGCCGUGGUCUGACGGUACCUCCAAAGGAAGCACCGGCUAACUCCGUGCCAGCAGCCGCGGUAAUACGGAGGGUGCGAGCGUUAAUCGGAAUCACUGGGCGUAAAGCGCACGUAGGCUGCUUGGUAAGUCAGGGGUGAAAGCCCGCGGCUCAACCGCGGAAUUGCCUUUGAUACUGCCGAGCUAGAGUCCGGGAGAGGGUAGUGGAAUUCCAGGUGUAGGAGUGAAAUCCGUAGAGAUCUGGAGGAACAUCAGUGGCGAAGGCGACUACCUGGACCGGUACUGACGCUGAGGUGCGAAAGCGUGGGGAGCAAAC
rnacentral:rRNA from 1 species